CCUACGGGUGGCAGCAGUGAGGAAUAUUGGUCAAUGGGCGUAAGCCUGAACCAGCCAAGUCGCGUGAGGGAUGAAGGUUCUAUGGAUCGUAAACCUCUUUUAUAAGGGAAUAAAGUGUGGGACGUGUCCUGUUUUGUAUGUACCUUAUGAAUAAGGAUAGGCUAACUCCGUGCCAGCAGCCGCGGUAAUACGGAGGAUCCGAGCGUUAUCCGGAUUUAUUGGGUUUAAAGGGUGCGUAGGCAGCAUUUUAAGUCAGGGGUGAAAGUUUGUGGCUCAACCAGGGAAGUGCCGUUGAAACUGGGAGGCUUGAGUAUGUUUGAGGCAGGCGGAAUGCGUGGUGUAGCGGUGAAAUGCUUAGAUAUCACGCAGAACCCCGAUUGCGAAGGCAGCCUGCCAAGCCAUGACUGACGCUGAUGCACGAAAGCGUGGGGAUCAAACAGGAUUAGAUACCCUUGUAGUC
rnacentral:rRNA from 1 species